rnacentral:rRNA from 1 species
AGCGAACGCUGGCGGCAUGCUUAACACAUGCAAGUCGCACGGAUCUUUCGGGAUCAGUGGCGGACGGGUGAGUAACGCGUAGGGAUCUUUCCAUGGGUGGGGGACAACUCCGGGAAACUGGAGCUAAUACCGCAUGAUACCUGAGGGUCAAAGGCGCAAGUCGCCUGUGGAGGAACCUGCGUUCGAUUAGAUAGUUGUUGGUGUAAAGGCCUACCAAGGCGAUGAUCGAUAGCUGGUUUGAGAGAAUGAUCAGCCACACUGGGACUGAGACACGGCCAAGACUCCUACGGGAGGCAGCAGUGGAGAAUAUUAGACAAUGGGCGAAAGGCUGAUCCAGCAAUGCCGGGUGUGUGAAGAAGGUCUUCGGAAAGUAAAGCACUAUCGACGGGGAAGAUGAUGACGGUACCCGUAGAAGAAGCCCCGGCUAACUUCGUG